UGCGCCUACGGGGCGCAGCAGUGAGGAAUAUUGGUCAAUGGGCGCUAUCCUGAACCAGCCAAGUAGCGUGAAGGAUGACUGCCCUAUGGGUUGUAAACUUCUUUUAUCUGGGAAUAAAGUGCAGUAUGUAUACUGCUUUGCAUGUACCUUAUGAAUAAGGAUCGGCUAACUCCGUGCCAGCAGCCGCGGUAAUACGGAGGAUCCGAGCGUUAUCCGGAUUUAUUGGGUUUAAAGGGAGCGUAGGCGGUCUGUUAAGUCAGUUGUGAAAGUUUGCGGCUCAACC
rnacentral:rRNA from 1 species